AUAACAGCUUUGACAAGGAAAAGUACUUAAAUACGAAACUUACAGAGAGCGGGUAUUGGUGGAAGCCUGCAGGGAAGUUUUAAGGAAAAUCACCUUUGAGCUGAGAGCUGAAAUUUAGUAAGCAAAUCCGUAAUCCUGCGUUAAAGGAUAGAGCGUGUCAGCGUUUGAACAUUAGGUGGUAUAGCGAAUUUAACUUCGUCCUUUUG
rnacentral:ncRNA from 1 species